rnacentral:rRNA from 1 species
AGAAUAGGAUUGCGCUGUUAUCCCUAGGGUAACUUGUUCCGUUGAUCAAGUUUUUGGAUCAAUAAGUGAUGUAAUACUUUCGACUGGUUAGUCUAGAUUUAAAUCACUCGGAGGUUGUUUUAUUCUCCGAGGUCACCCCAACCUAAAUUGUCGGCCCAUGUAGAGAUUUGUUGUUCCUGUCGGUUAAUUAGUGGGGUCUCUUUGGGUCGGUUAAUUARASCUCCAUAGGGUCUUCUCGUCUUAUUGUUAUAUUCCCGCCUCUUCACGGGAAGGUCAAUUUCACGGAUUGGAAGUAAGAGACAGUAAAGCCCUCGUGUGGCCAUUCAUACAAGUCCCUAUUUAGGGAACAAAUGAUUAUGCUACCUUUGCACGGUCAGGAUACCGCGGCCGUUUAACUAGUGUCACUGGGCAGGCAGUGCCUCUAAUACUGGAAAUGCUAGAG